UAGACAGGGGCUAAUGAAUAUGCUUGCUUGUUAUCAAGUGCCUCUCAUUUUGAAGUUGUACAGGCUGCAGUCAGAACAUCCCUGCAUUGGAAUCAUCCCAGCUUCUUCCUCCUGAGACAGCUUAAUGCUACACGUAUGAAGGGUGAAGGCAAGUACUUUGCAUAUCGGAGUCACUUGGGACUUGUGUGGGAAGGCUUUUGUUUUGCCUGAUUUCACAAGCUUCUGCCUGUUCCUUUGAGUUCCUCCACCUGCCAGACAAAAAGUAGAAGAGACCUGCUAUCAAGAUUUCAUCUGGACAGUGGGGAGAGCUACAUACUUGAAAAGGCUCUGGUUUGCCUCCUCACACCAGGGUCGGGAAAGGUGCUACUAAUGAAGGGAGGGGGUGGUUAAGAGCCGUGCAGGGAGACAGACCCGGGUGUGAAUGCAGCGCUGCCCCUUCCUGCUCAUGUGAUCAUCUGUAAGGUGGAGAUGAAGAUGAUAAGGAGGAUUACAAGAAGAAUGAGGAGGAAGAUGUGUAUGUGAGGCUGUGCCUACAUAAAAAUGUAUUUGUGUUCCCUGAAGCACGCACCGCUGGUGGUGGUAGGAGACAGUCUGAGAAAGACUUAAUAGAAGAGAAACUCAACUAGAGUCUCACCAUUGAUGUGGCAUGUCCGACGCACUGUGGCAUGAUUGGGAAUUGAUGCUCUGCCCUCCGUGUUGGCAGCAUCCCUCUCUGGGGAUUGGCCUGCCAUUAGCCCCGCUCCUUUCUCUCACUGCUCUGAAUCAUCAUUUGGCACACCAACACA